GUGGUUAUGUCAGAAUUGUAUGAGUUAGCUUUAAGCGUUAAUUAUGGGAAUUUUCCCUGAUCACU
rnacentral:tRNA from 1 species